rnacentral:rRNA from 1 species
GAUCAUGGCUCAGGAUGAACGCUAGCUACAGGCUUAACACAUGCAAGUCGAGGGGAAACGACAUCGAAAGCUUGCUUUUGAUGGGCGUCGACCGGCGCACGGGUGAGUAACGCGUAUCCAACCUGCCCACCACUUGGGGAUAACCUUGCGAAAGUAAGACUAAUACCCGAUGAUAUCCCUAGAAGACAUCUGAAAGGGAUUAAAGAUUUAUCGGUGAUGGAUGGGGAUGCGUCUGAUUAGCUUGUUGGCGGGGUAACGGCCCACCAAGGCUACGAUCAGUAGGGGUUCUGAGAGGAAGGUCCCCCACAUUGGAACUGAGACACGGUCCAAACUCCUACGGGAGGCAGCAGUGAGGAAUAUUGGUCAAUGGACGAGAGUCUGAACCAGCCAAGUAGCGUGCAGGAUGACGGCCCUAUGGGUUGUAAACUGCUUUUAUAAGGGAAUAAAGUGAGCCUCGUGAGGCUUUUUGCAUGUACCUUAUGAAUAAGGACCGGCUAAUUCCGUG